CGUCAGAUAGCUCAGUGGUCUAGAGCAGUCGCCCGGCAAGCGAAAGACCCUGUUUCUAUUCCCGGUCUAGCGA
rfam:Harpegnathos saltator strain R22 G/1 HarSal_1.0_3.contig3485, whole genome shotgun sequence.